rnacentral:tRNA from 2 species
CAGAGGAUAGUUUAUUUAAAAACACUAACUUUGGGAGUUAGAAAAGAUGACUUCAGCAUCUCCUUUGA